AUUUGAAAACCCAUUUCUAAAAAUCAAGAAGACAAAAACCCCUUUGUUAGGGUUUUUCUCUGCACUCUGCACCGUCUCUGUGUGUAAAAGCUAAUACUCAAACACCAUGCCGCAAGGAGACUAUAUAGAGUUACACAGGAAGAGACAUGGCUACCGCCUCGACCACUUCGAGCGCAAGCGCAAGAAGGAGGCUCGUGAGGUCCACAAGCGCUCUGAGAGGGCCCAGAAAGCAUUGGGUAUCAAGGGUAAGAUGAUUGCCAAGAAAAACUAUGCUGAGAAGGCCCUCAUGAAGAAAACAUUGGCCAUGCAUGACGAGUCAACAUCUAGGCGGAAGGUGGAUGAUGAAGUUCAUGAAGGAGCUAUUCCUGUCUAUCUGCUGGAUCGUGAAAACACAACACGAGCAAAGAUCAUGAGCAACACUAUAAAGCAAAAGAGGAAAGAGAAGGCUGGAAAAUGGGAAGUCCCUCUACCUAAGGUGAGGCCUGUUGCUGAAGAUGAGAUGUUUAAAGUGAUUAGAUCUGGCAAGCGGAAGACCAAGCAGUGGAAGAGAAUGAUCACCAAAGUCACAUUUGUGGGACCAGGUUUUACCAGAAAACCUCCCAAGUAUGAGCGAUUUAUCCGCCCUUCAGGAUUGCGUUUUACAAAGGCCCAUGUGACACACCCUGAACUCAAAUGCACGUUUAAUCUGGAGAUCAUUGGAGUGAAGAAAAACCCUAAUGGUCCAAUGUAUACAUCACUUGGUGUUAUGACCAAAGGAACCAUCAUUGAGGUGAAUGUCAGUGAAUUAGGUCUUGUCACACCUGCUGGGAAAGUUGUAUGGGGGAAAUAUGCUCAAGUAACAAAUAAUCCAGAGAAUGAUGGUUGCGUAAAUGCAGUUCUUCUUGUCUAGUAGACCAAUAAAACGGAAGAUUUGGAUCAGCGCAGAUUACAAACUCCUAACAGCUUUAUUACUUGCAUCAGAAGCCGCUUCAUCUAUUUUCAUCUCUUUAAUGUAGUUUAUUCCCUUUUUUUUUUUUUUUUUUUUUUUG
rnacentral:misc_RNA from 1 species